rnacentral:rRNA from 1 species
UACGUAGGGGGCUAGCGUUGUCCGGAAUCAUUGGGCGUAAAGAGCGCGUAGGCCGCUCGGUAAGUCCGCUGUAAAAGUCAAAGGCUUAACCUUUGAAUGUCAGUGGAAACUGCCGGGCUAGAGUCCGGAAGAGGCGAGUGGAAUUCCUGGUGUAGCGGUGGAAUGCGCAGAUAUCAGGAGGAACACCAACGGCGAAGGCAGCUCGCUGGGACGGUACUGACGCUGAGGCGCGAAAGCGUGGGGAGCGAACAGG